rnacentral:rRNA from 1 species
AGAGUUUGAUCCUGGCUCAGGAUGAACGCUAGCUACAGGCUUAACACAUGCAAGUCGAGGGGCAGCGGGAUUGAAGCUUGCUUCAAUUGCCGGCGACCGGCGCACGGGUGAGUAACGCGUAUCCAACCUUCCGUACACUCAGGGAUAGCCUUUCGAAAGAAAGAUUAAUACCUGAUGGUAUGAUGAGAUUGCAUGAUAGCAUCAUUAAAGAUUUAUCGGUGUACGAUGGGGAUGCGUUCCAUUAGGUAGUAGGCGGGGUAACGGCCCACCUAGCCAACGAUGGAUAGGGGUUCUGAGAGGAAGGUCCCCCACAUUGGAACUGAGACACGGUCCAAACUCCUACGGGAGGCAGCAGUGAGGAAUAUUGGUCAAUGGACGAGAGUCUGAACCAGCCAAGUAGCGUGAAGGAUGACUGCCCUAUGGGUUGUAAACUUCUUUUAUAAAGGAAUAAAGUCGGGUAUGUAUACCCGUUUGCAUGUACUUUAUGAAUAAGGAUCGGCUAACUCCGUGCCAGCAGCCGCGGUAAUACGGAGGAUCCGAGCGUUAUCCGGAUUUAUUGGGUUUAAAGGGAGCGUAGGCGGGUGGUUAAGUCAGUUGUGAAAGUUUGCGGCUCAACCGUAAAAUUGCAGUUGAUACUGGAUAUCUUGAGUGCAGUUGAGGCAGGCGGAAUUCGUGGUGUAGCGGUGAAAUGCUUAGAUAUCACGAAGAACUCCGAUUGCGAAGGCAGCACACUAAUCCGUAACUGACGUUCAUGCUCGAAAGUGUGGGUAUCAAACAGGAUUAGAUACCCUGGUAGUCCACACGGUAAACGAUGGAUACUCGCUGUUGGCGAUAUACUGUCAGCGGCUUAGCGAAAGCGUUAAGUAUCCCACCUGGGGAGUACGCCGGCAACGGUGAAACUCAAAGGAAUUGACGGGGGCCCGCACAAGCGGAGGAACAUGUGGUUUAA